GAUAAACGCUAGCGGCAGGCUUAACACAUGCAAGUCGAGGGGCAGCAUAGAUUGUAGCAAUACAAUUGGUGGCGACCGGCGCACGGGUGCGUAACGCGUAUGCAACCUACCCGUCACAGGGGGAUAAUCCGGAGAAAUCUGGUCUAAUACCCCAUAACAUAUGGAUCGGCAUCGGUUCAUGUUGAAAUUUUCGGAGGUGACGGAUGGGCAUGCGUAGCACUAGCUUGUUGGUGAGGUAACGGCUCACCAAGACGACGAUGCUUAGGGGGACUGAGAGGUUGUCGCGCCACACUGGGACUGAGACACGGACCGGACUCGUCCGGGAGGCAGCCGUUAGGAAUAUUGGUCAAUGGGCGCAAGCCUGAACCAGCCAUGCCGCGUGCAGGAUGACGGCUCUAUGCGUUGUAAACUGCUUUUGUACGAGGGUAAAGUGGGUUACGUGUAACCUUUUGCAAGUAUCGUACGAAUAAGGAUCGGCUAACUCCGUGCCAGCCGCCGCAGUAA
rnacentral:rRNA from 1 species